GGAAUUUUCCGCAAUGGGCGAAAGCCUGACGGAGCAAUACCGCGUGAGGGAUGACGGCCUGUGGGCUGUAAACCUCUUUUUUCAGGGAGGAAGUUCUGACGUGUACCUGAAGAAUAAGCAUCGGCUAACUCCGUGCCAGCAGCCGCGGUAAGACGGAGGAUGCAAGUGUUAUCCGGAAUCACUGGGCGUAAAGCGUCUGUAGGUGGUUUAGUAAGUCAAAUGUUAAAUCUUGAAGCUCAACUUCAAACUCGCAUUUGAAACUAUUAGACUUGAGUAUAGUAGAGGUAAAGGGAAUUUCCAGUGGAGCGGUGAAAUGCGUAGAUAUUGGAAAGAACACCAAUUGCGAAGGCACUUUACUGGGCUAUUACUGACACUCAGAGACGAAAGCUAGGGUAGCAAAUGGGAUUAGAUACCCCAGUAUC
rnacentral:rRNA from 1 species